AGAGUUUGAUCCUGGCUCAGAUUGAACGCUGGCGGCGUGCUUAACACAUGCAAGUCGAACGUGAAAGUCCUUCGGGAUGAGUAAAGUGGCGCACGGGUGAGUAACGUGUGGAUAAUCUACCUUCAAGACGGGGAUAACGGUUGGAAACGGCCGCUAAUACCGGAUACGCUAUAUAUUAUAACGUUAUAUAGGAAAUGAUAGCCUCUGCUUGCAAGCUAUUGCUUGAAGAUGAGUCCGCGUCCCAUUAGCUAGUUGGUGAGGUAAAAGCUCACCAAGGCAACGAUGGGUAGCCGUUCUAAGAGGAUGAUCGGCCACACUGGAACUGGAACACGGUCCAGACUCCUACGGGAGGCAGCAGUGGGGAAUAUUGCGCAAUGGGCGAAAGCCUGACGCAGCGACGCCGCGUGAGGGAUGAAGGUCUUCGGAUCGUAAACCUCUGUCAGAGGGGAAGAAGUGUGUCUAUUCAAAUAGGGUAGGCAUUUGACGGUACCCUCAAAGGAAGCACCGGCUAACUCCGUGCCAGCAGCCGCGGUAAUACGGAGGGUGCGAGCGUUAAUCGGAAUUACUGGGCGUAAAGCGCACGUAGGUGGUUUUGUAAGUCAGGGGUGAAAUCCCACCGCUCAACGGUGGAACAGCCUUUGAUACUGCAUCACUAGAGUAUCGGAGAGGGUGGCGGAAUUCCAGGUGUAGGAGUGAAAUCCGUAGAUAUCUGGAGGAACACCGGUGGCGAAGGCGGCCACCUGGACGAAAACUGACACUGAGGUGCGAAAGCAUGGGGAGCAAACAGGAUUAGAUACCCUGGUAGUCCAUGCUGU
rnacentral:rRNA from 1 species